GAGUUUGAUCCUGGCUCAGGAUGAACGCUAGCGGGAGGCUUAACACAUGCAAGUCGAGGGGUAAAUGGUAGCAAUACUAUGAGACCGGCGAACGGGUGCGUAACGCGUAUGCAACUUACCUUAUGCAGGGGGAUAGCCCGUGGAAACGCGGAUUAAUAUCCCAUAGAUCAGUAAUAUCGCAUGGUAUAACUGGUAAAACUCAGGUGGCAUAAGAUGGGCAUGCGUCUGAUUAGCUAGUUGGUAGGGUAACGGCCUACCAAGGCGACGAUCAGUAGGGGUUCUGAGAGGAUUAACCCCCACACUGGUACUGAGACACGGACCAGACUCCUACGGGAGGCAGCAGUGAGGAAUAUUGGUCAAUGGGCGCAAGCCUGAACCAGCCAUCCCGCGUGAAGGAAGAAGGCCCUACGGGUUGUAAACUUCUUUUCUGUUUGAAGAAUAAGCUCGUCGAGACGAGUGAUGCCGGUAGGACAGGAAUAAGCAUCGGCUAACUCCGUGCCAGCAGCCGCGGUAA
rnacentral:rRNA from 1 species